rnacentral:tRNA from 1 species
UAAGGGAGACCAAACCCAUCAGUAACCGAAAGCAAACAGCUUAUAGGUACAGAUGAGGUCACCCUAGGUCAGAGCGAAGUAGAGAAGUGAGGCUUUCUAACUAUAAUUAGGUUUGGCAAAGGGGCUAUUAGCUCAGGUGGUUAGAGCGCACCCCUGAUAAGGGUGAGGUCCCUGGUUCGAGUCCAGGAUGGCCCACCUAAAGUAGUUAUCAGUUUUAAGUUACGAGUUUUGAAUGAAGAACUCAUAACUAAAAGCCAAAAACUAUGGAAAAGGGGGUAUAGCUCAGUUGGUAGAGCGCCUGCUUUGCAAGCAGGAUGUCAGCGGUUCGAGUCCGCUUACCUCCACAUGAGUAACAGCCGAAACAAACGAACAUUAAUAAUUCAGCACCUAGACAAGAAAUGAAUUGUCGGCAUGCUGAAUAAAUUAUUCAGUCAGAACCUUGAAAACUGCAUAGCAACAACAAAUAGCAGGCAGAUACCAAAAGUAUCUGAACGAAAAAACU